ensembl:lncRNA
CUCAAACAUUAGCCUCCAACCUAAGUAUGGGGAUAAGUGUAUUCUGUACCAUCAAGUAGACUGAACACUGUUAAGCAGCAAGAAAUGCAACAACAACAAGAGAUGCUAGGGCAGUUUGGAAUGGAAGAGCACAGAGAUAUAGUAUUAGACCAAACCAAUCCACUAAGGAAGACUUAUGACUAUAUCAGAAAAAGCAUUAAGGACUGAGGAAAGGAAAUUCCCAAGUUCAACAGAAUCCUCCCCAAAACCUUGCCAAAAAUGAGGAAACAAAACAAACAAAGAAUUUUUAGGGCUACUUACAGUCACAAGUCUGGCCCCUCUGCUCUGGACAACCCUAUGUUGCUGGCCUUUGCGGAAGUUCUGGAGACUGAUUCAAUAAUCCCAGCACCUGUGGAAGACCCUUGAGCGAUUGUCCUGGAGGAGAACCACAUAUACAAUCUGCUCUGGGCAGUCCUAUGCUUGGGGUUCUGGGCACUGAAUUCAUAUUCCUGGCCCCUCUGGAAUACUGCACUCUGCUAAUCAAGGCAAAGGACUGACUCUGGGAUCAGCUCUGGCCAUCUAGCCCUGUUGACCUAUGUUGAGACCCUGAGUGCAUAAUCUAUGAUCCUAGCAUGUUCCUGAUUCAUAGUUUUCUAGGUAUUUAACUAAUAGGUCAGAUUUGUGAUCUUUGAGCUGGAAAUGUGACCCACUAUAAUUCUGCCUUCAAAAUUCUCAAUCACUAUUUAGACCAAUGUUGCUCUUUUUUGUUGAAAGAAUUGUGUGGGAAGAUGGACUCCGCCAUUUUGAUCAGUCUCUACUGUCACUUAAUAUUAUUUAAUUUACCAGAAAGGAGAUAGUAUGGUACAUUAGAAAGAUGACCUAGUGUAGAAUCAAAAGAUCUGAAUUUAGAAUUUAGAUCUAGAAAAACUCUAGAAUCAGAUUAACAGAUUAAUUUACUGACUAUAUGAUCCUAAGUAAAUUAACUUUUAAAUACUACAUAAAUAUAAACUAUAUUUGUAAACCUCUACAGAGAGCACUUAAGUUUAAUUUUGCAGGAAUAAGAGAGGAGAUUUAGGAAGAUGGAGGACUCUAAGGGCCUUUGGCAACCAGGUGGCUACUUGAGACCACAGUGACUAAAGGCAUCAAAAGGGAAGGUGGAAAAUGGCCAAAGACAUCUGGUCUAAAAUGGACCCUGUUCCUAAAUUUAAGAGUUUGAAUGAAUGAAGUCUUGGCAAUUGUCAGCAUAUUUUAAAAAAUACUUCAAUACUUACUAAAUAUUUUAAAAGUCAAGCAUCCAAGUUCUGAGAUUAGGAGGGAAAGGUCAUUUUGAGUAUAUAUUUCAUCAACCUUUGAAUUUAAAGAUGGUGUUGCUGACCCAACCAUUAGCAUGGCAUGGACUUUGAAUUGUUUUCCCCUGUAAUGGUGCUAGACUGAUGUGAAUUCCUCUCCUUGUAACCAAUGGCAUCCAGUUAUUUACUCGAUAUCUGGUCAGGCUUAGGAAAUGGAACAGAUCUCCCCAGCCCACACAAAAAUUGAGCCUGGGUAUCUGUGCACACGUACUCAAGUUUGUGAGUGUUUGUAAAUGGAAAUAAAUAUAGCCAGAUAGCUAGAUCUUGGACG